rnacentral:rRNA from 1 species
AUUCCAGCUCCAAUAGCGUAUAUUUUAGUUGUUGCAGUUAAAAAGCUCGUAGUUGAAUUUCUGGUGGGAAGAUGCGGACGGCCUCAUGGCUUGUUCCAAGUCUUCCGGCCAUCCUUGGGUGGAGCUCGUCUGGCAUUAAGUUGUCGGGCGGGGGAUGCCCAUCGUUUACUGUGAAAAAAUUAAAGUGUUCAAAGCAGACUUAUGUCGUUGAAUAUAUUAGCAUGGAAUAAUAAGAUAGGACAGCAGUGCUAUUUUGUUGGUUUGCGCACCGUUGUAAUGAUGAAUAGGGACAGUUGUGGGUAUUUAUAUUCACUUGUAAGAGGUGAAAUUCUUAGAUUAAGGGAAGAUAAACUACUGCGAAAGCAUCUACCAAGGAUGUUUUCAUCA